rnacentral:rRNA from 1 species
GCCAGACUCCUACGGGAGGCAGCAGUGGGGAAUAUUGCGCAAUGGGGGGAACCCUGAUGCAGCGACGCCGCGUGGGCGAGGAAGUAUUUCGGUAUGUAAAGCCCUAUCGGCAGGGAAGAAGAAAUGACGGUACCUGAAUAAGAAGCACCGGCUAAAUACGUGCCAGCAGCCGCGGUAAUACGGAGGAUGCGAGCGUUAUCCGGAUUUAUUGGGUUUAAAGGGUGCGUAGGCGGGCUUUUAAGUCAGCGGUAAAAAUUCGGGGCUCAACCCCGUCCGGCCGUUGAAACUGGGGGCCUUGAGUGGGCGAGAAGAAGGCGGAAUGCGUGGUGUAGCGGUGAAAUGCAUAGAUAUCACGCAGAACCCCGAUUGCGAAGGCAGCCUUCCGGCGCCCUACUGACGCUGAGGCACGAAAGUGCGGGGAUCGAACAGGAUUAGAUACCCGAGUAA